rnacentral:lncRNA from 1 species
CAAGCACGCAUCCAAAUUGUCUCUAUUUCACUAAUUUUGCUCUUAUUCUGGUAGUAAGUCUGCUUUAAUGAGGGCUUGGAAAAGGGAAAAUGACCCUCUGAGUGCCAAUGACUAGCAAAAGGGAAACAAAACAUAGAGACAUACGUGUAAGGGUCAGUCGGACCCAAAGAAUAAGUGAAACAUCAGGGGAAAAAAAUAUAUGUGUCUCAUUAUUGGAAAAAUAAAGCCAGGACAAAAGAUGAGAGAUCAUCAGUCAAUAAUUGUGGGGAGGAGUCAGAGG